rnacentral:rRNA from 1 species
AUACGGAGGGUGCAAGCGUUAAUCGGAAUUACUGGGCGUAAAGCGCGCGUAGGCGGUUUGGUCAGUUGGAUGUGAAAGCCCAGGGCUCAACCUUGGAACUGCAUUCAAUACUGCCAGGCUAGAGUACGGUAGAGGGAGGUAGAAUUCCACGUGUAGCGGUGAAAUGCGUAGAGAUGUGGAGGAAUACCAGUGGCGAAGGCGGCCUCCUGGAUCGAUACUGACGCUAAGGUGCGAAAGCGUGGGGAGCAAACAGGAUUAGAAACCCCGGUAGUCC